AGCGUAGACGGUGUGGCAAGUCUGAUGUGAAAGGCAUAGGCUCAACCUGUGGACUGCAUUGGAAACUGUCACACUUGAGUGCCGGAGGGGUAAGCGGAAUUCCUAGUGUAGCGGUGAAAUGCGUAGAUAUUAGGAGGAACACCAGUGGCGAAGGCGGCUUACUGGACGGUAACUGACGUUGAGGCUCGAAAGCGUGGGAGCAAACA
rnacentral:rRNA from 1 species